rnacentral:rRNA from 1 species
UACGAAGGGGGCUAGCGUUGCUCGGAAUUACUGGGCGUAAAGGGCGCGUAGGCGGCACUGUUAGUCAGGCGUGAAAGUCCUGGGCUCAACCUGGGAACUGCGCUUGAUACGGCAGAGCUAGAGGAUGGAAGAGGGUCGCGGAAUUCCCAGUGUAGAGGUGAAAUUCGUAGAUAUUGGGAAGAAACACCGGUGGCGAAGGCGGCGACCUGGUCCAUUACUGACGCUGAGGCGCGACAGCGGUGGGGAGCAAACAGG